CAGGUAAUCUUGGAUAUAACUGGUCGAGACUUCUUAACGUCUCUGCAAAGUGCGCAUACCCCUUAUGAUAAAUUUCAUGUAAAAUUAUGUUGCGUAUCUUAAACCCCCAUUCCCCUAACUUAAUAUUGAGCUUGUGCCAUGGUCAAUUACUAUUUGGUGUUGUUCAUGUCACAACGUCGAACUGAUGGAUAUUAACUUCGCAAUCGACAAUGCGAAGCUAGAAUGUUGUAGGUUAAAAAAGUAUUGGUGUCAUGCACCUAAAACCGUGCAGUAUAAUUUUUUGCAAAUACGCAAAUUCCUGAUAACAACUAUUUUGCGUGCUUUUC